GACGAACGCUGGCGGCGUGCUUAACACAUGCAAGUCGAACGGAAAGGCCCUGCUCUUGUGGGGUGCUCGAGUGGCGAACGGGUGUGUAUCACGUGGGUAACCUGCCCUUGACUUCGGGAUAACUUCAGUAAAAUGGGGCUAAAACAGGAUAGGAACUCCUGCUGCACGGUGGGGGUUGGAAAAUUUCGGUGGUUUGGGAUGGACGGGCGGCUUAUCAGCUUGUUGGUGGGGUAGUGGAUUACCAAGGCUUUGACGGGUAGCCGGCCUGAGAGGGUGACCGGCCACAAUGGGCCAGAGAUGCGGGCCAGACGGCUACGGGAGGCAGCAGUGAGGAAUAGAGCGCAAUGGGCGGAGUCCUGAAGCAGCAACGCCGCGUGCGGGAUGACGGCCUUCGGGUUGUAAACCUCUUUCGCGUGGGACGAAGCGUGAGUGACGGUAAUGGGUAAAGAAGCAACGGCUAACUACGUG
rnacentral:rRNA from 1 species